GGGCCCGUAGCUCAGCCUGGUAGAGCGUCGCCCUUGCAAGGCGGAGGCCUCGGGUUCGAAUCCCGACGGGUCCA
rnacentral:tRNA from 1 species